GAGCUCGUAGGCGGUUUGUCGCGUCUGUCGUGAAAGUCCGGGGCUUAACCCCGGAUCUGCGGUGGGUACGGGCAGACUAGAGUGCAGUAGGGGAGACUGGAAUUCCUGGUGUAGCGGUGGAAUGCGCAGAUAUCAGGAGGAACACCGAUGGCGAAGGCAGGUCUCUGGGCUGUAACUGACGCUGAGGAGCGAAAGCAUGGGGAGCGAACAGGAUUAGAUACCCUGGUAGUCCAUGCCGUAAACGUUGGGCACUAGGUGUGGGGACCAUUCCACGGUUUCCGCGCCGCAGCUAACGCAUUAAGUGCCCCGC
rnacentral:rRNA from 1 species